rnacentral:lncRNA from 1 species
ACUAAUACCAUAUCCGCUGUCGGGGUAGAGAGAGUUUGCCUCAAGAAAGCGCUGGGCUUCUGGCUGUCACUAAAUACUCAAUCAAGUUUGAAAUAUAAGGGUAACAAUUUUAUAUAUAUAAACUCCUCUCUUUUGGAGCAAUUACAUCAAUAUACAAGCCUUAAAAUCUAAAGAACACCAAAAUACUUGAUAAGGUGUUAUAAAAAACUUAUAUAUCCUUAUGAGGAAUUUUUCCCGAAGUUCAACAGCUCAUAACUUACGAUCUAACCGUCUAAACAACUCCAAAUUUUACAUGGAGUACUGAUAUAUCUUUAGCAACUACCAUACCAAAAUUCAACCGUAAAUUCGUAUUGGAUCUUGUGAUAUCUUGAAAACCCUAACUGUAGCUUCAAACCCUAGCUUUUUUACACCCGUGUACAACUUCCUUCAUAUCUCACAAAGUAAUUAUUCAAAUACUAUGAAACUUUGAUCUAAAGCUUCUUAACCCAAUUAUACACACUUCUGGAAAUUUUGAGUCAUAAAUUCGUCCAGAAACUCAAGAUAUAGCUUCACCCAUAACUAGCAACAAAACGAUAUACUUACUGUCUUCAAAUUACAAGUGCUGUCUUCAACGCCUCAUAACUCCUUCACCCAAUCUUAGAAUUCACUAUACAGUAUGUAGAAUGUGUAGCCGAGAAAAUGCUCCUUGUAAAUCCAGUCGUCGAUCUUCCGUUGCUCUCCGUAUUCGUAUGUGAUGCCCAAAAGAAGUGACAGUAGGUAUGAAAUUGACACCUUAUCUUUGAACAUUCAUAUCUUUUCCAUAAAAACUCGAAAUCACACAAAAUCUUCACCCAAAUUAUACCCAAAAUCCUAAACCUUCUGACCCUAGCCUCAAAAGCUCGAAUGGCCUCGAAAGAGGAACCCUAAUUCCUAAUAUGGCCUCGGGCAGCCUCCUCAAAGCCCAUUGGGCAUGAUAUUCGACCAAUAGGGAUGAAGUUCUUCACCCCUUGCCUUCAUCCAACCAUGCCUUACUUUCAUCCUUCCCAAUAAGCCUCCUUUUAGUUAUAUUUUCAUCUUUUAACUCCUCCCUUCCCUUAAUCUUUAUACUAACUAUCUAAAUCCUAUAUAAUAUAAACUCUAUAAUCAAACUAGAUUAACUUCUAAAUAAUUUUUCUUAUUUCAAUUCAUUUUAAAUUAACAUACUAACUAUUCUAACUCACAUUAAGACUUAUAAACAUAUUACAUGUUUUCACUAAUUUUUACAUACUGUAAGUAAUUACAGUACGACAUCCACUCCCUCCAAACCUGCACAUCCUCCGGUAUGUGCCACAUACUACUCUUCUUCAUCCUCUUGAGACUUCUUGGAAUCACUCAUAGAAUCUUCUUCUUCAUGUUCUUGGUCCAAAUAUUGAGGUAAGAAUUCUUCAAGAUCUUCUAUUUGAAACCGCCCAUCUCUUCUUUUGAAAGCCUUCACCCUCUUCCCUGCUAUUGGAAUUCUAAUGAUAGCUCCAUCUAACUCACGUAAGGUAUAUGUGGCAUUAUCAUGGACUAUAACCAUCACAUAUAGUCCAAACCAUUUUUUUGCAAAUUUCUUUACAGUACUAUGUUGAUGCUCAAGACUGCUAUCAUAAACUAGAACCCAAUCUCCAAUCUCUAUAGGUUUAGGCCUUAACCUAUGAGUCUUAUCAAACCUCUCUUUAUUUUUCAAUCUUGGUUCCUUUAAUCUCUCAGCUGUAAUUUGUAGGUCCUCAGGUAAUCUUCUUAACUGUUGGAUUCGAAGCUCUAAUAACCUUUCUCUAUUAAUGCUAUCUUUCCAAGACAAAAACAUCCAUGUAGGAUAGGUUGCUUCAGUAGGCAUUAUAGGUUUUUGUCCUAGCAUUAAUUCCAUAGGCAUAUAACCAGUGACAGUACUAUGAGUAGUUGUAUCAGCCCAUAAAGCAAAUGGAAGCAGUUUAGGCCAUUGAAUUGAUUUACCCUUACAUGCCUUAACCAAUGCAUAAAUGAUUGGAGGAUGACCUCUUUCACUCUUUCCAUUGGCUUCAAGAUUAUAAGAAGUAGUCAACUUCAAUUGAACUCCGUACCUUUUGAAAAAAUCUCUUGCUUCUAUGGCAUCCAAUUCUCCUCUAUCAGCUCUCAUCCUCUCAAUAUAGCCAUAUCUGUUGAAGAUGUCUUCUAAUAUAAACCUGCAUAUUGCUUCCGUGGUCUUGAAUCUCAAAGCCCUUCCUUCAACAUAGUUUGAUAACUCUUCUCUUGCUAAAACCAAAUAUUUCAUACUCCAUAAUCCUGAAGGUAUAGCUACCAAAUCAAUUACCCAUUGAAAAUGUAUAGAAGGUGGAUAAGUAGGAUGUAAUCCAUCUCUAUACCUAACCUUAGAUUGUAGUUGGCACUCUGUGCAUGAACUCACAAAGUCUUCUACAUCUUUGUAUAAACCCUUCGACCAAUACCUUUCUUUGAUCUUAGUAUAUGUGGCCCAAACUCCUCUAUGUCCUGCCCAAAGUGUAUCAUGAUAUUCUCUUAAAACCUUAAUUUUAGUUUCAAGAUCUCCUAUAACUCUCAAUGGGAUUUUGUCACCUCUUUUUGGCCUCUUCCAUAGAAAUCCAUCCCUGAGUAUAUAACCAUAGGAUUGGUGUCUAAUAUCUUUGAAGGUUUUGUCCAUCCACCCUUCUUGUUUUUUCAUUGUGCUUAAAUAAAUUCCAAUAUCAUUCAACUUGCCUUCAUACGUACCUUCAUAGAAAUUUUGAACCUUGUCACCAAAAUCCAUUCCACCAGUAGCAAAUGAACUUCCAUAAUUCUUCUCUUCUUCAUCUUCACCUCUUUUAUAUGCCAUCAUCUCUUCUUCAAAUGUAUAUCUAGCUCUGGACAACAUAUCUGCCACCAAGUUCUCUUUAGCAGUAAUAUGUACCAAAACAGGGUUUAAUGUCCUUAUAUAGGCUAUCCAUCUUAGCAUGGCAAUAUCUAAAGUAGUACAGUUAAUUAUCAUUCUAAGUAAUGGCAAACAAUCUAUUUCUAAAACCAUACUUGCUCCAAUCAAAUAAUUCCUCUCAGCCUUUAAUGCUGUAAGCGCUCCCCAAAGCUCUCUUUUAACUUGUGGAUAAGCCCUUUGUCUCUUUGUAAGAACCCUAGCUCCAAACCUUAUAGCAAAUCUUCUUCCCUCUACAUCAUUUUGUCCAAUAGCCCAUCCAAUUGCUAUAGGGCUUGUAUCCACUGUUACAACUACUGGUCUUUCACAUUGAUAAUCCACUUGUUUAAGCACAGGUGGUGAACUCAACAUUUUUUUUAGAUUUUCCAUAGCUGUUUCUUGUUCUUCUUCCCAUACAAAUUUCUUACCCUUCCUUAAUAACUUAUAUAAUGGCUCUGAGAUAUGGGCAAAGUGUGGCACCCAAAUGUGAUAGAAUACACAUGCUCCUAAAAACCUUCUAGCUUCUGUAACAUUUUUACAAGCCUUAAUUCUAGAUAUAGCAUCAAUCUUAUCAGGGUUUGGUUUCCUACCAUACCUGCCACACAUGUGCCCCACCACUAGAAUCUCAUCAACUCCAAAGCUUGAUUUCUCCAAAGAUAACGUGAGAUUAACUGACUCCAAUCUCUCCACUAUCUGAGCCACAUCUUCAAUAUGUUUCUUCACAAACUUUCUACAACCUUCAACCUCCAUAGUCUCAUCCUUGUCUUCUUCUUUAUCUCCUUUUAUAGGUAUAUCAUCUAGAAAUGGAAUGGUUUUCUCAGGUACAAAUUCUUUUAAUAUUUGGUUCAUAGCAUUUUGCAUAUGAGCCACUGAGUUGGUUGCACCUUGAGGUAGCGUACACAUCCUCAUUAAACCCAAAGGAGUCUUCAUGGUAGUUAAAUCUCUACUCUCUUUAGCCAAUUGAAAUUGGUCAUAUCCAGAAUAUAAGUCUCCAAUAGAAUAAAUGGCAUGACCUGCAAAUUGUUCAGCCACUUCAUCUACUAUGGGACCUGAUCCCAUAUUUCAAAUAGUCACCCUGUUUGCAAGUUGCAUAUCCUGAAUAAACCUUAAUGCCCUUGACUUCUUGGGUACUGUGAACCAUCUAUUAGAAUAGGGAGCAAUUGAAGGUUCCAAAAUACCCAUCUUCACCUUCUCUUUUAAUAAUUCUAUCAAUUUUGGAAGUAAAGCUCUAGGCACAGGUAUAGGCUUUAAAUCCCAUGGAACAUGUGGCACUGUAAAGAUUACCAUAGGUACUAUAAUACUAGGAUCCACACAUCCGAUUUCAUCAGGAGUUAAGGCAAAUGCCUUACCAUGUCUAAUAAGCAUUUCUUGAAACAUAUCUUCCUCUGUUGAUGUUAAGAAGUCAUCCCCUCUAAUCUUCAACUUAGCUAAUGAUUCUUGUGUAAAUUGAUGUCCAAUUCGACGCCUCUCUCUUAGACUUGGCUCCAUAACUGCUUGUUUAAUAUGCUCCAUAUUAUCAACUGGUAAUUGUGUAGCUACAGGCUUUACCUUUCUUGCCACAGUUUUAUAUUUAGUUUGUACUCUAGCCUAAUGCUUCAAUCCAUAGUUUGUAGCAAGUCCACCAUUUUCUACCAUCCUUUCUAAUCCUUCAUAAGUCCUUCUUGAAUAUAUUUCUACUAUAGCAUCUCCAUCUAUGUUUAUAGCCAGAUUCUCCAAAACCUUUACCAAAUCAUCUUCCAAACCUAUUUCUUCUAUUACUCCAACUAUGGCUUCAUCACUUGAAACUAAACCCACUCUUUUUAAGUUCUUCUCUUAUUUUUUUACCCUUUUUUAUUUAUAGAAUCUAAAUCUUUAACCUUUUGAAUACUCACAAAUCCAUUACUAGAUAAGUUCAAAAAUCCAAAACUCAUACUAUCUACACUGGGGUUUGUAGAUGAAUCAUUUCCACCCAUGUGCCCCCAUCUUACAAGGGUGCUUUUUAGAAAUCCACAAAGUUAUUUCCUGGCUCCAAGGGCAUCCCUCUUAAUUGUUCUCUGUGUCUCUCAUAGAUAGGUUUCACAGUAAUAAAUUGCACAGCUUUUCUCCCAUCCCAACUCCGAAUUCUGGCAUAAUGUGAACCAUCAUUCAAGACUCUAGUCUCCAUUCUAGCAGCUGUAAUAUAAGGUUGACCAAGUAUUAUCAGAUAUGUAGCAGAGUUUUGCACAAAGAAAUUUUGCUCCACUUCUACAUCUCCAAUUCUAGUCUUUACAGCUGGACAAGCUCCAUGUAAAUCACCUUGUUGAUUGUUUGCAGCUCUGAUUACCCAACCAUGGUUGAUAUCAAUUGGCCACUUAUUCUUCUCAUAUAUCUUCUUUGACAUGAUGUUGAUUUCAGAUCCAUGAUCAACCAGGGCCAAAAUUGGAUCUUUCAAGUCCCCCAAUCUCACAUAUGUUUCUGUAGUAGCUCUAGCCCAAUAAAGAACUAAAUAACUACUACUCUCUAUUCUCUCAUUUUCACAUUUGGAGCAAGUAUUAACACUUGCUUCUUAUGCAUCCUUCCUUAUCCCUGUAAAUCCCAAAGGUGUGCAUUCCACUUGAUGCUCUCUUUUACCUUCAACAUGUUUAAAUGAAACCUUGUUUUCCAUAUCAACCUUAUUUCUAGUUUCAGGCAUUGCAAAUUGUGCAAAUACCUGUCCUAUCUCUUCUUCUUCAUGCACAGUUACCCGAGUAUCCAAUGCCUCUACCACAAUAGCUUCUGCUAUCAUUUGCCUCUUCCUCUUUAUCACAUUGAUGAUUAAUUCAUGAAAAUCCUUCUUGGCUAUGCCUAGAGCCUCUCUUAGAGUGAAUUCAAUCUUUGCAUCCAAGAUCUUCUCUUCUAAAAUACUCUUCAUAUCUGUAGAUGAUUCAAUCUCAGAUUGAAGUUUAUAAGCAGGAGUUUUACCUUUAGGUUUGCUUGUAUCUUCUUUCUCUUUUUCUUUGCCCUUCUCCCACCACUCUUUUGGUAAUGGUGCACUACCAGGAUGAGUAGAAGAAGAUACCUUCUCAGUUUUUUACUCCUUAGAAGCUUCUUUAUUUCUUGGAAACCUCCUCUUAUUUUCAGGCUCAAUAACAUCUUCUUCAUGAAUAGUUCUACCUCUUUUUUCCUCAACCAUAGCAUCAUGCAUAUCAUCAUCAUGCUUGUCUCCACACAAAUAUGCUUUAAUGCUAAUAGCAUCAAUUGGAUCAUUCCACCCAGUUUUCUUUCUGAUAGCUUCAGCUCCCUCAUCAUGACUCCUUUAGUUGGCAAAGAAACAGCCUUAACUCCCUUUUGUUCAACUGUAAUAGAAUAAGACUCAGCUCCUUCCCCUUUUAUGGCACUAUUCUUUGAUGUUUGCUCCUCUACUAAUUUUUUCAUGCCACCCUUCCCAAAAUUAGUCUUUAGAGGCUCAUCUGACCCUGUGACUCUUAUCCUGCCCUCUUUGAAAUACACAAUACCAUCCUUGAUUGCAGCCUUAUAGCUAUCACACUCACCACGCUUAUGGUUUGGAUUGUCACACCACAUACAUCUUUCUAUAAAUCCCUUUGAGCCUUCAAUUGUCUUUGAUGAGCUUCCCAUCUGGGAUUUCUUCAAUUCAGUCAUUUCCACCUUCAAGUCCUGUAUGCCCUUAAUUAGUUCUUCAAGAGUACCAUCCUUAACAGUCUUGAUUCCGUUUUGAGGUGGCAUUAGAUUUUGAGAUGCAGGCAUUGGCUCCAACCUUGGUAAUAAUCCACGAGUCUUAAUCUUUUGUUGCCUAGCCAAAAGCCCCACUGUCUCUUUUACUAGCUUCCAAUCAUUAGUAAAACCACUCUCAGAUGUCUUGUCUGCUAGAUAAAAGAGUAGCUUAUCCUCCAAAUGUUCAUCAACUGCUUGUAAAAACAAUCCAGUCUUCCUUGUUUCCAAAAGCUGCCUCUCUUGUCGUGGUAACUAUCCAAACUUAGCCUCAAAUUCCCUGAUUAAUUCAUUGGGAGCCAUUUGAUUCCCUGGCCUUUGCUCAAUCCAAUCCAAAAAAGUUUGUUUUAUCAUUCUUUUUGAAUCCUCCUCAAAAAACUCAUCUUUCAAGAGUUCUUCAAAUUUCUUCCAUGAUAUAGUCUCAGUAUGCAACUCUUGUACCCUCUCUCUGAUUUCUGGUACCACUGCCAAAUCAAAGGUAGAAAUCAUCUUUACUUCUGAAACCUGAUGCACUUCCAUUUCACAUGUAUAAACCCUGAGGAACUUAGUGAUGUUCCUCCCAUCAAACCUCCCAACCUUAUCCACCACUACUUGUAAAGCUUUGGUGGUAUUCUUAUCCUCUCCAUGCACCUGUUGCCUUUCUUCCAUAAAUUGAGCAAAUGUCCUGAAUAAAUCAUGAGCACCUACUCCACUUGGUAAUCCAAACCCUGGAACUUGAUCCCCCAUUCUAACUUAUUGAGAAUUUUAGUGCCUUAAGGCUCUCUCAGUGGAAGCACCAAAUAUGUCGAGGUAGAGAGAGUUUGCAUCAAGAAAGCGCUGGGCUUCUUGCUGUCACUAAAUACUCAAUCAAGUUUGAAAUAUAAGGGUAACAAUUUUAUAUAUAUAAACUCCUCUCUUUUGGAGCAAUUACAUCAAUAUACAAGCCUUAAAAUCCAAAGAACACCAAAAUACUUGAUAAGGUGUUAUAAAAAACUUAUAUAUCCUUAUGAGGAAUUUUUCCCGAAGUUCAACAGCUCAUAACUUACGAUCUAACCGUCUAAACAACUCCAAAUUUUACAUGGAGUACUGAUAUAUCUUUAGCAACUACCAUACCAAAAUUCAACCGUAAAUUCGUAUUGGAUCUUGUGAUAUCUUGAAAACCCUAACUGUAGCUUCAAACCCUAGCUUUUUUACACCCGUGUACAACUUCCUUCAUAUCUCACAAAGUAAUUAUUCAAAUACUAUGAAACUUUGAUCUAAAGCUUUUUAACCCAAUUAUACACACUUCUGGAAAUUUUGAGUCAUAAAUUCGUCCAGAAACUCAAGAUAUAGCUUCACCCAUAACUAGCAACAAAACGAUAUACUUACUGUCUUCAAAUUACAAGUGCUGUCUUCAACGCCUCAUAACUCCUUCACCCAAUCUUAGAAUUCACUAUACAGUAUGUAGAAUGUGUAGCCGAGAAAAUGCUCCUUGUAAAUCCAGUCGUCGAUCUUCCGUUGCUCUCCGUAUUCGUAUGUGAUGCCCAAAAGAAGUGACAGUAGGUAUGAAAUUGACACCUUAUCUUUGAACAUUCAUAUCUUUUCCAUAAAAACUCGAAAUCACACAAAAUCUUCACCCAAAUUAUACCCAAAAUCCUAAACCUUCUGACCCUAGCCUCAAAAGCUCGAAUGGCCUCGAAAGAGGAACCCUAAUUCCUAAUAUGGCCUCGGGCAGCCUCCUCAAAGCCCAUUGGGCAUGAUAUUCGACCAAUAGGGAUGAAGUUCUUCACCCCUUGCCUUCAUCCAACCAUGCCUUACUUUCAUCCUUCCCAAUAAGCCUCCUUUUAGUUAUAUUUUCAUCUUUUAACUCCUCCCUUCCCUUAAUCUUUAUACUAACUAUCUAAAUCCUAUAUAAUAUAA